rnacentral:lncRNA from 1 species
ACUAUGCACCAGACUGACGCUAGGUUACUCAACUUGAGAAAUUAAUGAGAAGUAGAAACAGAUAUAUGAACUGCCAAGAAAACAAAAAAUCUUCUCAAAAGAGAUACUCAUAUUUUACUGAAUGAAUAAAAUAGAGCCCUACUUUGUUCUACUAAACCAUCUCCAUGCACUGUCCAAUAGCAGAAAUGAUGGCUGGGCUCUUCAAGAGGGUUGCUGAAAUGGUGAUGGGUGUCAGGACGUCCAUUAUUGUUUGAAGGCAAGUGAAACUUGUACUUUAGACUGGGUAGUUACUUUUCCGCCUCACUGAAGUUGGCAAGACGUCAAAUGAUGGAAGGGAUAAUGUCCCUUUAACUGGGGAAUCUUAUGUUUCAGUGACUGUGAUCUAUUGGACUGAUCUUGAAUGGACUGGCUAGCUUUCUGAUUUCUUGUUAAGUGGCUAGAAUAUUUGUAAGACUUUCUUACUUAAAAAUCUCUAUCAAAAUGUGAAUUAAUAGAA